AGGACGAACGCUGGCGGCGUGCCUAAAACAUGCAAGUCGAACGGGGGAGUAAUCCCUAGUGGCGAACGGCGGAGUAAUACAUGAGGAACGUGCCCUGAAGACUGGGAUAGUUGUUGGAAACGACAGGUAAUACCAGAUGUGACGGACUUUCGGCAUCGAAGGUCCAUUAAAUAGUUUUUGCUUCAGGAGCGCCUCAUGGCCUAUCAGGUAGUUGGUGAGGUAACGGCUCACCAAGCCGACGACGGGUAGCGGGUCUCAGAGGAUGAUCCGCUCGAGUGGGACUGAGACACGGCCCACACACCUACGGGUGGCAGCAGUUGGGAAUCUUGCACAAUGGGGGAAACCCUGAUGCAGCGACGCCGCGUGGAGGAUGAAGGGUCUAGGCCUGUAAACUCCUUUUAUCGGGAAAGACUUAGGACGGUACCCGAUGAAUAAGGACCGGCUAACUACGCGCCAGCAGCCGC
rnacentral:rRNA from 1 species